GCAGUCGAGCGAACAGAUAAGGAGCUUGCUCCUUUGACGUUAGCGGCGGACGGGUGAGUAACACGUGGGUAACCUACCUAUAAGACUGGGAUAACUUCGGGAAACCGGAGCUAAUACCGGAUAACAUUUGGAACCGCAUGGUUCUAAAGUGAAAGAUGGUUUUGCUAUCACUUAUAGAUGGACCCGCGCCGUAUUAGCUAGUUGGUAAGGUAACGGCUUACCAAGGCGACGAUACGUAGCCGACCUGAGAGGGUGAUCGGCCACACUGGAACUGAGACACGGUCCAGACUCCUACGGGAGGCAGCAGUAGGGAAUCUUCCGCAAUGGGCGAAAGCCUGACGGAGCAACGCCGCGUGAGUGAUGGAAGGUUUCGCUCGUAAACUCUGUUUUAGGGAGGACAAAUGUGUAGGAACUGUGCACGUCUUGACGGUACCUAAUCAGAAAGCCACGGCUAACUACGUUCCAGCAGCCGCGGUAAUACGUAGGUGGCAAGCGUUAUCCGGAAUUAUUGGGCGUAAAGCGCGCGUAGGCGGUUUCUUAAGUCUGAUGUGAAAGCCCACGGCUCAACCGUGGAGGGUCAUUGGAAACUGGGAAACUUGAGUGCAGAAGAGGAAAGUGGAAUUCCAUGUGUAGCGGUGAAAUGCGCAGAGAUAUGGAGGAACACCAGUGGCGAAGGCGACUUUCUGGUCUGUAACUGACGCUGAUGUGCGAAAGCGUGGGGAUCAAACAGGAUUAGAUACCCUGGUAGUCCACGCCGUAAACGAUGAGUGCUAAGUGUUAGGGGGUUUCCGCCCCUUAGUGCUGCAGCUAACGCAUUAAGCACUCCGCCUGGGGAGUACGACCGCAAGGUUGAAACUCAAAGGAAUUGACGGGGACCCGCACAAGCGGUGGAGCAUGUGGUUUAAUUCGAAGCAACGCGAAGAACCUUACCAAAUCUUGACAUCCUUUGAAAACUCUAGAGAUAGAGCUUUCCCCUUCGGGGGACAAAGUGACAGGUGGUGCAUGGUUGUCGUCAGCUCGUGUCGUGAGAUGUUGGGUUAAGUCCCGCAACGAGCGCAACCCUUAAGCUUAGUUGCCAUCAUUAAGUUGGGCACUCUAGGUUGACUGCCGGUGACAAACCGGAGGAAGGUGGGGAUGACGUCAAAUCAUCAUGCCCCUUAUGAUUUGGGCUACACACGUGCUACAAUGGACAAUACAAAGGGCAGCUAAACCGCGAGGUCAUGCAAAUCCCAUAAAGUUGUUCUCAGUUCGGAUUGUAGUCUGCAACUCGACUACAUGAAGCUGGAAUCGCUAGUAAUCGUAGAUCAGCAUGCUACGGUGAAUACGUUCCCGGGUCUUGUACACACCGCCCGUCACACCACGAGAGUUUGUAACACCCGAAGCCGGUGGAGUAAC
rnacentral:rRNA from 1 species